GUAUUGUAUUGCGUUAAACGCGGCACACAUUCCAUGAGACUUUGUUACAGAGUGUGUGUAAAGACGUAGAACCACAACAGGAGGACAGGGUCCCCCAUGCCACAGAACUACAGAGGGUGCACAGGUGUGAGUGGAUGUGUAAACAGAGCGUGCACAUGCCCCCGGUUUGAGGACCAGCAACAACUCGUGUCGACAAUUCAGUAAUGAUCCUUCCGCAGGUUCACCUACGGAAA
rnacentral:misc_RNA from 1 species